ACUCCUACGGGAGGCAGCAGUGGGAAGGUAUUGGCACAAUGGGGAAACCCUGAUGCAGCCAUGCCGCGUGUGUGAAGAAGGCCUUCGGUUGUAAAGCACUUUCAGUAGGGAGGAAGGUAGUGUAGUUAACACCUGCAUUAUUUGUACGUUACCUACAGAAGAAGCACCGGCUAACUCCGUGCCAGCAGCCGCGGUAAUACGGAGGGUGCGAGCGUUAAUCGGAAUUACUGGGCGUAAAGCGCAUGCAGGCGGCCUGUUAAGUCAGAUGUGAAAGCCCGGGGCUUAACCUCGGAAUUGCAUUUGAAACUGGCAGGCUAGAGUCUUGUAGAGGGGGGUAGGAA
rnacentral:rRNA from 1 species